UUGUUUUGAAAUACAGCUCUAGCUCUUAUUCAUCAUUUCAAUCUGCAGGUGAUUAAGGCCUGCUACCACAUAUUGAUUGAUUGUUUCAAAGUGCUUUUGGGAAUUGGGAUUUGAAUCCUUAUUUAAGAAACUAUGAAACUUCUUUUCUGGCAAUCCCAGCAUGCAUGAUUGGUGGCGUUUGAGCUCUCUACUUUUCAUUGCUAUUUAGCAUGUGACACUGGUCUAUUGCUGUUAGAGUCCCCUGAAACCGCUUGUGUAUCAGAUGUUUGAGUUCCCAAAAAAGGACUUUCUUAGUUAAUACAGGAAUUUACAGGAUACUCAGCUUAAUUCAGAAUUCAUAUGAGGUCACCACCAUGUAGAUAUCCCUGCUUGUCAUUCAACGUACUCUUUAAGUCCCAAAAAAAAAAAAAAAAAAGAAGGUUCAAGUUUUACAUUUUUCUAGUUUGAAAUAUUUGAUGUUGGAGAUUUUUAUUUUUGGUUGUGUUAUAAUUUAUCAAGCUCUCAUUUUCAUUGUAGUAGGCUCACGUUUUCUCGUUAAAAACCAUGGACUAAGAUUCUUUUCCCUUUUUUCCUCAAGGAAAUGUAUUGAUAAUUUAUUUUGUCUUGGCCAAGAAUUUAAAAGUGGCUAAUGGCUUACACUGUUUCCAAAGACUGCAGUUUCUUCAUUCAUUCAGGCAUUUGAAGGACAUGAAAGGCAUACUUUUAGCAUGGAACUGCCAAUUGUAAAUUGCUUCAGCUAUUUAUAAGAUAGACUUCUCUGUUGGUUACAACAAGCAUCCUCUGGAAUUCAUUAUUUACUUGAUCUUUGUUGGAGUUUCGAUAUGCCAUCUGA